rnacentral:rRNA from 1 species
CCCUACGGGGCGCAGCAGUAGGGAAUCUUCCACAAUGGGCGAAAGCCUGAUGGAGCAACGCCGCGUGGGUGAAGAAGGUCUUCGGAUCGUAAAACCCUGUUGUUAGAGAAGAAAGUGCGUGAGAGUAACUGUUCACGUUUCGACGGUAUCUAACCAGAAAGCCACGGCUAACUACGUGCCAGCAGCCGCGGUAAUACGUAGGUGGCAAGCGUUAUCCGGGUUUAUUGGGCGUAAAGAGAACGCAGGCGGUCUUUUAAGCCUGAUGUGAAAGCCUUCGGCUUAACCGGAGAAGUGCAUUGGAAACU